CACUUUACUCGUGGGCACAAGGACAAGAAGGCCUGUUCAGGGUCACCAGUGAGUUGGGCACACAGAGGCAAGACAGUCUUCAUGGGACCUCCUCCUGAAGGCCUUCUGGCUUUACGUGACAGGUCCCUGUGGCCAGAUCCCGCGCCCUCGGCUGUACCUUGGAUAUGAGUCACUCGCUGUGCUUGCGGGUGAUGCCUCGAGAAGAAGGAAUGAUGGCUGAGGCGUCCAAAGCGCUCUAGGCAAUCCGGGUCUUAAAGAAAGAAAGCAAACCUCUCUGAAGUGCCGGUACCCAGUGCGAGACUUCCUUUACUCCCAAAUAAAGGGGAAGUCUCUGGAAACCCCAGAGCCCCUCUGCUGUAGCCCUACCUCCUCCUGUGUAUUUCAGAGACCUGUGUCAACACAGAGGAGGACAACACCUGGUAAAGCUGGACACUGUCUCACCCAGUCAUUUCUCUCCCAGACACAAGAGAAACUCCUACAGCUGCCUGACUUAGGCUGUCUGGGGGAGUAGCCCCAUCCAGAGGGUCCAAAACAGCCCAAACCCAGUGACUUCACCUAUGUCUAAACACUGGAGUAAAGCUUUGUUC
rnacentral:lncRNA from 1 species